rnacentral:rRNA from 1 species
UUCGUAGGUGGUUCGUUACGUCGGAUGUGAAAAUCUGGGGCUCAACCCCCAGACCUGCAUUCGAUACGGGCGAGCUAGAGUUUGGUAGGGGAGACUGGAAUUCCUGGUGUAGCGGUGGAAUGCGCAGAUAUCAGGAGGAACACCAAUGGCGAAGGCAGGUCUCUGGGCCAAUACUGACACUGAGGAACGAAAGCGUGGGGAGCGAACA